GUAGGUGAACCUGCGGAAGGAUCAUUACAAAAAUAAUUUGUGUGCGAUGCUUGAGAAGUGUCAAAACUUCUUCUGCGUCACACUCUAAGCCCACUCCUGAAAGGGAGAUGGACAGUGUGCUGUGCUUUUGUGCGGUAUGCUAACAUAUACUUUAAAUCAUGACUUAUAACAUAAAGUUUUUAAUUAACCAAAACUUUUAACAAUGGAUCUCUUGGCUCUU
rnacentral:misc_RNA from 1 species